rnacentral:rRNA from 1 species
UUGGGAAUAUUGCACAAUUGGCGCAAGCCUGAUGCAGCCAUGCCGCGUGUAUGAAGAAGGCCUUCGGGUUGUAAAGUACUUUCAGCGGGGAGGAAGGGAGUAAAGUUAAUACCUUUGCUCAUUGACGUUACCCGCAGAAGAAGCACCGGCUAACUCCGUGCCAGCAGCCGCGGUAAUACGGACGGUCCAAGCGUUAAUCGGAAUUACUGGGCGUAAAGCGCACGCAGGCGGUUUGUUAAGUCAGAUGUGAAAUCCCCGGGCUCAACCUGGGAACUGCAUCUGAUACUGGCAAGCUUGAGUCUCGUAGAGGGGGGUAGAAGUCCAGGUGUAGCGGUGAAAUGCGUAGAGAUCUGGAGGAAUACCGGUGGCGAAGGCGGCCCCCUGGACGAAGACUGACGCUCAGGUGCGAAAGCGUGGGGAGCAAACAGG